GGGUGACAUAGUGUAGUGGUGUGAGUGUUGGACUAUGAUUCCAGAGACCAGGGUUUGAUUCCCGUUUCGGCCA